rnacentral:rRNA from 1 species
UACGUAGGGUGCAAGCGUUUGUCCGGAAUUUAUUGGGCGGUAAAGAGCUUGUAUGGCGGUUUGUCGCGUCUGCUGUGAAAUUUCGGGGCUCAACCCCGAACUUGCAGUGGGUACGGGCAGACUAGAGUGUGGUAGGGGAGACUGGAAUUCCCGGUGUAGCGGUGAAAUGCGCAGAUAUCGGGAGGAACACCGGUGGCGAAGGCGGUU